CAUUCCAAAGCAGCUACAAUGUGGUAGAGGUAUAAGGCUAGCACAUAUAUUUAGAGAACCCCUUCUUUCUUGUGAUUUCAUCAUUUCUCCAUGUAUAGCCCCAAAUACAGACAAUAAUUUCAGAACUGAUCUCAUCACUUUUUUUUUCAACAAGCCUGUGACUCUGCAACCAAAAACUUAGAGAGCCUGUUUAGGAAGAGUGUGGGACAUGUGUAGCAGUGGAAAGAGCCCUCAGGCUGCAAUCAGAAAUGUUGCAUCUGGCAGAGGGUCUCAGAAGAUGGGCCAGAAGACCCUCCAUCUCUCUUCAGGUCCUUGCCUUCACUCCAUUGAAGAAUGAAGAAGAGGGGCUCUUAGUGGAAAAUGGGAGAGUCAAGACUGAUAUAGUGCAAACUAAAAGUUUAUUUAAAGUGUGGCAAAUGCAGAAGAAGGAGAAGAAGAGCUAUUUUAACAGCAUAGUGGGCCGCAAGAGAGGGGGCAUCCUGCCUGGGAUGCCCAGUAAGUUUGAGGGGCACCAACUCAAGGCCAAGCUCUGUACAAGAUGCACAGAGCAAGAGGUACUCCCUAAGGAAGGAAGCAAAAAGCCUGAGUAUGACAUUCCCAAAACCUAGGAAAACUUAUAGGUAAGUCUGGCCAUGGCCUGGGCAUCCUCCUUCUCCCUGAGGCAGGCCAAAGACAGCACAUGUGCAGAACUCUUGAUAUGUCCCCCUCACUGCCCACCUCACCAGUCAGCUUGGAGAUGUUUCUGGAUGAUGGAGGAAAUGCCUGCAGGCCUCUAUAUCUUCCCAACUAUCCCUGCCAGGGAUCUCAGGCUCAGGAGAAUCCAGUUUUCCUUGUUUGCUUCCUGCUGCCUCCUCUUCUUCUCUAAACAGCCCUACCUAUGAAGCAGCAGGAAUGUUUUUUCAGGUAUUUGCUUCAGCAAAGUUCCAGUAAAAAAUGUCUAUAAAUGCUAACAACGGAGAAAAGCCAGACA
rnacentral:lncRNA from 1 species